GGUCGGUUGGAUGAGUGGCUUAGUCACCGGUCUGCAAAACCGCUUACAGCAGUUCGAAUCUGCUACCGACCU
rnacentral:tRNA from 1 species